AUUGAACGCUGGCGGCAGGCGUAACACAUGCAAGUCGAGCGGAAACGAGUUAUCUGAACCUUCGGGGAACGAUAACGGCGUCGAGCGGCGGACGGGUGAGUAAUGCCUAGGAAAUUGCCCUGAUGUGGGGGAUAACCAUUGGAAACGAUGGCUAAUACCGCAUGAUGCCUACGGGCCAAAGAGGGGGACCUUCGGGCCUCUCGCGUCAGGAUAUGCCUAGGUGGGAUUAGCUAGUUGGUGAGGUAAGGGCUCACCAAGGCGACGAUCCCUAGCUGGUCUGAGAGGAUGAUCAGCCACACUGGAACUGAGACACGGUCCAGACUCCUACGGGAGGCAGCAGUGGGGAAUAUUGCACAAUGGGCGCAAGCCUGAUGCAGCCAUGCCGCGUGUAUGAAGAAGGCCUUCGGGUUGUAAAGUACUUUCAGUCGUGAGGAAGGUAGUGUAGUUAAUAGCUGCAUUAUUUGACGUUAGCGACAGAAGAAGCACCGGCUAACUCCGUGCCAGCAGCCGCGGUAAUACGGAGGGUGCGAGCGUUAAUCGGAAUUACUGGGCGUAAAGCGCAUGCAGGUGGUUUGUUAAGUCAGGUGUGAAAGCCCGGGGCUCAACCUCGGAAUAGCAUUUGAAACUGGCAGACUAGAGUACUGUAGAGGGGGGUAGAAUUUCAGGUGUAGCGGUGAAAUGCGUAGAGAUCUGAAGGAAUACCGGUGGCGAAGGCGGCCCCCUGGACAGAUACUGACACUCAGAUGCGAAAGCGUGGGGAGCAAACAGG
rnacentral:rRNA from 1 species